CGGAGUAUCAGUCCUCCCGCUGCCCGCCACGGCUGCCUCUGUUCUAGGUGAAAUGCCUGCAAACAGUAGCAGUACUUCAGGCCCUCUGGGCAUCAGUUGCUGAGGAGAAACAUACACAAUCGGCAGCCUUUGUUAGCUCAGUUUCCCCCUGCUUCUCUCCGUGUAACAGCAGACAGCUGGGGUGGAGGUUGAAGACUUUUCGAAGCCUGAAGAUCUAGCUCACAGCUGCCUUACGCGUAGCCUGGCAUUCAGCAGCACAAAAGGUGCUUAUGCUUUCACAUGCAGAGGUGAAAAAACAGAUGUCAAAGGUAGAGCUGAAGAAGCGCAGGAAGAAAGGAACUAGAGAAGCACAAGAAGAAAGCCUGUGAACACAAGUUGUACAAAGCUGUACUGACUUCAUAUCUCCCAGAUCAGGCAGGAACAGAUGGCAACCCCUUCUGCUCUGUUUAUAGGCUCUUUUCCCUGUGCUUAACAGACUGUAACUGUGUCCAGAAGUGUAAAGAAGGGAGAAUAUGAUGGAAAAUCCUGAGCUUCUAACAUAAGAAUUUAAAAUACAUGCAGAUACAGGACUCGUCAACCUGCAGAUCUCAUAGAAGUGACUUGGGCUUUUGCUGUAAAGGAAGAACAGUAGGAACCAAUACAUCCAAAAUACAUUUCAUCGAUCCUGGAUUUUCCAGUUUUCAUUCCUUUCUUGUGCAAGUAUGUGCAUAUUUUAGUGGAAGAGGAAAUAUUUUAGCUAAAAAAUAUUGGCAGCAUUUUUCUUAUUGAAAAUGUAUGUAAAAAGAUAAAACAUGUAAGCACUAUGCAAGGUACUUGCAUUUUGUGGGGCUUUCAGGUUUUUUUUUUGUUUUUUUUUUUAAUUUCAUAAGCAAUUGUUUCAUAGCCAAAGCUGUUUCAAGGAUAUUUACAUACCUCUGUUGGUGAUCAUAGUGUAAAUAGCUAGAAGUAUAGUACACCUUCAAUGAGUACAUGCUGGUACUGUCCUCACCUCUCUGACCACUUGUGUUCCUUGAUUUACUUUUUUCUCAUUUCUGUUAGCUUUUACUGUUUAUUCCUUCUUGUGCAGAUCUUGCCAUUCAAAGAGAGUUCUCUUUGGGUAUAAUGGGUGAUAUAUUUUACUUCCUACUGUUUUUCUCAGACCAGCUGGCUGUUAGUUCUUUGUAAGGGCCCUUUAACCUUCAGGCUCUCCUGUUAGGGUUUUAUUUGCAUUUUUUGAAUAGGAUAGGCAGGAAAGGGAAUUAAAAAGGACUGUUUUCAGACUCUGUGUGCAAAAGCUCUUUCUGUUUUUGUACCAUGGCAAAGCAGCAUAUGCUGAAGGUAAAUGGAAAUAUCAGUAUCGCUGGAAAUAUCAGCAUCUGGUGAUAAGUCCAAGGGAUCCACUGAAAAAUAGAUUUUUGCCUUUGAUAUUUAUAUUUACAGUAAUAUCAGCAAAGAGCUGCUAUUCCUGCAUAAAACAUCCAAUUUCAAGCAAAGCUCUCUCAAGGAAGGCCACCAGCUAGAAUUACCUGUGUAUAUCUUGAAGAAAUGGCAGUUCUUUCUUAUCUCUCUUAGGGAAAUUGCUGUCAUUGUUUAUCUGAGGUUUUUCUCAGAAUUUCUCACUGUAGUCCUUAGGGUUCAAGCUGUGUUACCCACCACUGAUGUCUGGAAGCUUUAUGGGAAGCUGCUCUUCUGUAUUUUUCCAUUUCAGGAUACCAGCUCGUAGCACCAAGGUACUGAAAUACAUUGGAAGUAACGUAACAAGUGUAUCUAUAUAAGCAAGUGUAACGAUACUAAAGCUUUAUAUUACAAAUGCUUAUUUAAUAAACAGGUUUUAUUAUCCUUGUCA